ACCCUGGCUGCCGACGAACACCCUAGCAUUUGCCACUUGCUCCUCCAUCAUCUAAAUCUGUUUAUAUAUUCUAAGGUUUAUUUGACCAUUACACUUGAGAAAAUGGCCAAAGGGGAUGCUCAGAAGCUCUACUUCACUGUUCCAAUAUUUGAGACACAUCCUCCCUAGUACUUCAUCCACGCAAUUUCAGAUUCAUGGAUGCAUUCAGAGUGUUUCUAUACUAUGUCCUUCCGGAACCUCAUGCUCCCUGAGGCUCUUACAACUUAUAUGGAACUCCU